rnacentral:rRNA from 1 species
UACGGGGGGGGCAAGGGUUGUUCGGAAUUACUGGGCGUAAAGGGUGCGUAGGCGGUCCGCUAAGUUGGAUGUGAAAACUCUGGGCUUAACCCAGAGCCUGCAUUCAAAACUGACGGGCUAGAGUUCUGGAGGGGGUAGCGGAAUUCCUGGUGUAGCGGUGAAAUGCGUAGAUAUCAGGAGGAACACCGGUGGCGAAGGCGGCUACCUGGACCAUAACUGACGCUGAGGCGCGAAAGCUAGGGGAGCAAACAGG